rnacentral:rRNA from 1 species
UACGGUGGGGGCAAGCGUUGUUCGGAAUUACUGGGCGUAAAGGGCUCGUAGGCGGCCAACUAAGUCAGACGUGAAAUCCCUCGGCUUAACCGGGGAACUGCAUCUGAUACUGGAUGGCUUGAGAUUGGGAGAGGGAUGCGGAAUUCCAGGUGUAGCGGUGAAAUGCGUAGAUAUCUGGAGGAACACCGGUGGCGAAGGCGGCAUCCUGGACCAACACUGACGCUGAGGAGCGAAAGCCAGGGGAGCAAACGGG